rnacentral:lncRNA from 1 species
AGAGAAGAAGGAGGAACCAAGUUGCGAUGCUGAAAGCAGAUUUUCUCGAUGGAAGCUCAGACGAUGUUGCCACAGCAAUCACCUCGGACACAGGAGAGGAGUUCACCUUCAGUGAGGUAGUGCCCAUGACCUACCUGAAUGUAGGAGAGGGUGGUGAAGUGAAUGAACAUUCAUUGAUAAUCCUGACCCCUUCAAAUGAAACAUUAGAUCUACAGAAUGUCGUCGUGGAGGAAGAAAUCACGGAAAUUUCCGCAGAAGAUGCCCAAGCAGAGGAGGAUGAGCAAAACCAAGAUCAAGAAGUAGCUGUCAUGGAUCACUCAAUUCUGGGAAUAGACUGCAGUUGAAGAACUCAGGUACAAAAGGAAUCCCACGAGUGCCAACCCACCGCCACAGCAGAGUUAUGUAUUGAGAUUUAGGCUGCUACUCACAAUUAAAGUAAGCCACUCAUUAUGGUAGGAAACCUUACUGAAUGAUACUAUGCAGUACCUUUGUUUGACCAGUUUCUAAAUUUUGUUUCGUAUCAACGAUAGUAGGUGUUUAACCCGGAAGGAACACCAGUUAUCUUGCUUAGCUUCAAAUUAUCUUAUUCGCCUAGGCCAUUGCAUUUCUGAUGAUGUUGCUGGUUAUUCGUCCUUACGAAUGUAGUCUAAUUUGGAAAUUUUCAAUCAAAUGUUACUUGUAUAGCGUCAAGUGACCUGAUCAAGCUUUUAUGUGUAUUUUUUUCCGGACGUAAUGUUUUCUCUGGAACAGGUUUGCUGACCUUCAACGUGUUGUAUACUUAUUUUUAGCUGUGAGGCCUAGUUUUCGUUUUCUAGUCAAGAAAUGGAGCACAAGUAGGGCAAAACAGGAAGCAACUGGAAAUAAGCCGAUUAGCCAUUGGUUGAUGCAUGCUGUAUGUGAUCAGGUAUUGAUCAGUGCCCCUGUUGCUUCUUUGUAAGCUCUUAAAAUCUCAUUUUGUCCUACUCCAAGCUAGCCUGGAGCAGUGGAGCAGUGCAAAAUUAUCAAAUCACUGUUAGAUCAAGCAAGAGAAUAGCUUUUUGAGAUCUAACUUCUAACAUCUCUUUACUCAAAACUUCUAUACAUUCUUAACGAAACGUUGUCAGAUAUGAUACAAUUUUUCCAAAAUUUCAUGGAAACUGAUGAAUUCAGUUUUUUUGUUUGUCUAAACCAGCCAAUUGAUGAAGUAUCUAUUAAGAUAAUUAUAUUUCUUACUGAUUUUUGUCUACAUGGUCAGUGUUUCAAUUUUUUUGUAUUUCAAUUGUUUUGUGAAGUUUUUUUACCAUCACAACUAGCUUUCUUGCAAAUUGUCUCAAUACCCCUAAAAAAUGGAAUCGAAUAAUUGUAACAUGCCGCUUAAGGAUGAGUUGAUUCGUUUCUUAAUAGCACCAAUAACAAUAAAGAUUUAUCUCUGUGGCUGACCCACAGGCUCAACAGAGACAAAAACUCAAGACGAACAUUUGCAGGCAGAGUGUUAUUAAGCACUUCUCUGUGCACCCCAGAAGUAAAAUUUGAGAAAUCAAUGUUUGCUUAUAUGAUGUCAUAGACGUAUAUCUUAUCCAUUGGGUCAUUCCUAAUGAAAGGACAUCGCACCAAAAGAUUUGAAGCAGGCUAAAUUUAGGUAUUAUUCAAAACUAUGUUCCUCACAGCCUCCUAAGCACUAUGAGCUCUUAAAAUCAAGCUUGCUAUAGUUGCCAAUUUUGUGAAGAGCGGGCGUAAAAUGUGAUUUUUUUGGUAUUUUUACUUGCAACACUAUGCCCAGUCAUUUUUCUCUUUUUAUUCAUCUUGUCAAGCAUCUGUAUCAGAGAAAUAUCAUUCAGUCAAAACCUAGUAUCUUUUUUUUGUGCGUUUCUGUGAUUUUACUUGUAUUAUGUAUAGUGUAAGUGUCUCUCUCUCUCUCAUUAAGAAUUUAAAACAGCAUCAUCAAUUUGCUGUAACCCCAUUAUUAUGAGAUGAAUAGGAUAAAUCAAUCAGCAAGCUAUGGAAAUCAUGGUAGAACUAAGACAUCAGAGAGAUAGGUUUCAUAUAGAGAGAAGUCUUACAUCCUCGAAAGGUUUCGUAAACUUUUAACCAUCAACCCCUUUUGUUUUUUGUUUCCACUUCGGGCCACUUCUUAGCGUUUUCUUUUCUUUUCGUUUUUUGUUUCCUUUGUUUUUUAUUUUAGUUUAUACAAAUGCUCAUCUAAGAUUAUAUGUGUGAAUUGAAUAGGUCUCUUUUUAUGAGUUGUCCAUAAAUGGCAUCUUCCUAAUAACAGCAUUUGAACCUUAACCUUUUGUCAUGUACCUGUCGUGCGGAUUUGAACUCACCUGAAUAAUGGAACAGUGGCAAGGGAUUUUUGCAGGGUUGUAGUACAGUUUUUCCCAAGUAGAAUUUUGUGAAAAAACGAAGGAGUCAAUUGAAAAUUUGAAAAUUUAAUUUCUGAGAAGGAAAAAGCUAAUUGAAAACCAACCAAUCUAAAUAGGAUUGUCGAAAUGACAUAGCAAGGCAAUGCUGGAAGCUAAGUUUAGCUGAUCAGCAAAUGCCGUUUCUGCCAACUGGUUACAUCAUCAGAGCCCGCCAAAAUUUUCAUCAAGGUUUGGAAAAAUUUACACCAAGGCAUCAGGAAAAAAACGUAUGAGUUCUGGAUUUUACAAGCCUUAUUGUAAAAUGCUGUUAUGUGUUAUUUUGAGAAAGGUUCACCAAACUUAUUUUUUCUUUUGAUUCUACCAGUAAGUUUCUCACUAAGCUUCAUUAUAUUUUUUGAUGACUGUUGUACAAAUUAAGAACAUUUUGUUCUUGUAAGGUGUUGAUUUUUAUUACCUGUACAGUUACUAAGUAUUAAUUCUACACAAAAAAUUUACCAUGUUUUGUAAUUUUUUUACUUGCGACUAAGAUUAAUGUUGUUGUAAAUAAAAUUUUUAUUUAUUGAUUUAAAUUUUGUGAAUAAAUAUGUUGCCUUGACAUUCGACUUCUAUUUUCUUAACCAAACCAUGAUAUUCAAAGAAAAAUUUUACCCUUAUCAUUGAAAAAUCCUUUAACUAUCAACUCUUAGAUUAGUACAGGGGCUUCUCUUAAAAUAUGUUAGCUAAAUUUCGGAUUUUUCCUCCUAGAUUAAGCGAUGUGAAAUGCAGUUACGGUGAUUCCAGAAUGAUCUGUCCAUUUUAAAGUGGUAAAUUCCUCAUCAAACUCUUCAAGGAGAUUAUAUAUUGGGGCAUCAAGAAAUUAAGACCCUAGCCCUAGCCACAAAAAGUCUAGACCUUCUGGAUCCAAAGGCUAAAUGUUAUAUUGACAUUACUUUGGAUUUCUUACUGUUAAAUUUAUGAUUAAAAGAGAGAAAAUAAAUGAGUUUUAAAGUAGUAAAACUGACAUAGAAUUGAUUGCACCGAUGAAUUUAAUCGAGUCCAUAACAAUUGAGGCAAGUAUAAAACAUCACAUAAAAUUUCAAAAGUAAACUAAAUUAUCAUAACAAACUCUCACAGAGCUACAAAGGUAGAAAAAAAUUGCCCUGGUCACUUUCUGAAGCAAACUCCCA